AGUGGAAGGCAGCGGUCAUGCGCCGGAUCGGAGCUGCAGUAGCAAGGAGCUGGUGGCGGUUCGGGUUUGCCUCUAUGGCCGUCAGCUCCAGCCCUGACCCGGACAGUGCCAUGGAUCCGGCGAAGUGGUAUACACUGAGGAAGAGGCAAACAACGCAAGGAAGAAGCCGACAUUCUUGUGGGAUCUGGGAAGGAAGAGGGAGGCGGAAGAGAGGAAUGGGUGCGACGGCUGUUGAGAGGGAGGAGGAGGGAGGAGUGCGUGGCUGUGGAUCUGGUCUAGGGUUGGUGCAGUUCUGUCCAAUGGGCUCCUCCCUUCAGCUUCAGGCAAGCCACGGAACGCCCGUUGCGUGAUGAAAGGUUCACCCAACCUAAUAUGACCCGCUGCAGACCCAGCCAAUGCAAGCGUGAGAUGAGCUCACUUGUCAUUAGGCAGUAAAAUGACUGUGAGGUGAAAAUUGAAUUUGACUGCUGUGAAAAUCCAAUGGCUCAGGCGUGCUAGAAGGCAGAUCGGACGGCCAACGAGUGCGACUCAGCAGGAAGGUGAACUGUGGGGAGCCGCAACAUGGCAUGGCCUCACUAGCCAAUUAGGUCUCCUCUCUCUUUGCCUACUGCUUCCUCUGGAACUCUGAUUUUGUUUGACUUAUGAAGGCACAUUCAUCCUACAAGUACAAUCAUGAUUAAGAGUUAGAGCGUCCCCGCACAUCAGUUUGCUUUCUUACAUUGAUUAUUGUUUUUUAUGCAUUAUAUCAUUCACCUUCUCACAUAAUAGUUUGGUAAAAAAAGAGUGAACUCACUCCUGAGUUUGUACUAAUUAUAUAUUUAUGGCACCAUUAAUAAUUUGCAUUUGCAUUUUCUGAUGAAUUCAUCGAGUUCCUUUCUCAAUAUGCUUAGAUGCUUUUCUGUCAGAAAUUUUGUGUGACAACAGAAGUAAUGGUUGAUUUGUUUAGCCUUUGUGUCGGUUUCAUCUGUAUAUAUUUCACUGGCCUACCUAUCAAUGUUGUAUGUCAAUAGUUCAUGCUUUUUUCUUUGGGAUAAUUAUGCCUAGCUAAAAACAGAGAGGAGUCAGGUACAUGCCUGCUACUGCUCUUUUUGCUUCCUAAAGUGUUCCUUCAACUAAUCCAGUAACCUGACAUUACUUUGUGUUUAACUAAUAUCAUUCUUAUCACAGUGAGCAAAUAUUGUUCAGUUAGCCUCCUUAUCGUAGAAAUGGUAACUGAAUGUGUGUUCUCCUUUUAUCACCUCUGAAUUUAAGGAAUAUAUUUGCUAAUAUAUCAAUGCUCAUUGGUGCCAUGUCUGGUUCUUAAGUGCAUGCUUGGAAGCUUAAAUCUGUCAUCAAACUGUGAAAUAGUGUUGUAAGAGACACUUCUAUAAGCAAAGGUAUGUGCCUGCAUUUAGACCUUAAUUAUCCCUUGCUUAGUAUUGUUUGGUUCGUGUUAUUCAUGCUACAAUGAUUUUCUUCACUCUGUUAAUCUUAUAGUAACUAGACGGCACAGUACAUGGCAGCAGUAUACUUUUGGUGUAGGAAUCAACAAUGACAUGCUUCAUGUUCUGUGUGCCUUGACUCUGGCUCUAUGCUUAUUAAUCAACUUAGCGAGCUUUAGGACUUCGAAAGUUGUCAUUUCAAGGAACAUGAAAAGUUUGUCAAGGAUGUACCAAAUCAUAUACGUAUGUUUCUUUCCACUUCUGCAUUUAUGGCUGCAAAUUGUAUUCUCAGAUUCUAGACUGGGUGUAUAUAAACAUAUAUUCUGCACACUGAAUUCUAGGUUCUCUUUAAUACAUCACAGAUAAAACAAAUAUUUCACUAGCAGUCUACUAGGGGAGGACGUUGAUGAAUCCUGCAUGCAUUGUUUUUUUUAUGCUUUAGUUGUUGAUGUUCAUAAAGUGAUGACAGAUGGCUUCAUUUAUGUUUGUUUAUACACAACAAACACCACCAAGAUCCCAAUUAAUCUGUGCAUUCAAGCGGCGAGUCAAAAGUACAUCACGUAUUGGUUGAGUGUCAUUGGAACAAUGAAGCAGAUUGCAUGCUUGCUUGAGUUCACCUUCUUUUUGGUGGACUAUAUAUCCAAGUAUUUCUUACAAAGUAUUUAAAAAAUAAAGGGGCAAAAGAUGUUAUAAUUCAGAACCAAACUUAGAAUGACACUAGGCUGUUAUCAUCACAAUUUGACAGUGUUGUGCCAAAAAAAAACUCCGAGUAAACAAAGAACAUUCUGGCUCCUUUCCAGCUUGCUAUUCAUGACGUUGCAAUGGCUGGAAGAAAGGGGACACAAUGCAGCUUGUUACAAAUCAUUUCAAAGUUUCCUUGAAAGACACCAUAGAUGAGUUCUUUCAUCAUUAUUUUGUAUGGAUCUAUCCUUGUUUACUUUGUUUUUUAGUUCCCUGUGUAACCAUCAGAUGCCAUUGCUCUUUUAUUUAAUUGAAUGCAGGUAUAUCUGAGGUAUUAGGACGAGAGGCCAGUGAAUGGAAAAGGCGUUGGUACAAAAGUCAUUGACAAACUGUAACAGGAUUAUGCAUCUGAGAUUCCUAUGAUGGCGAAAAAGAGAAACAAUUGACAAUUUGACAGAAGUGUUAUAUGAGUUUCGGACGACAAGGUCGCGAAUGGAGUACUUUCAUCAUUAGGUUUCCAUUGCCCGGCUCCUGAAGGUUUAUGUGAUUGGUAUGGAUGGAACAAUGAGAGGAGCAGUGGCGAUAUUCGAAGAGUUAAAACGGUGCAGUUUGAGGAUAUCCAUUACAGGGAUCCCAAAAAACUUGGACAACGGCAUCGACAUCAUAGACAAGGCGUUUGGGUUUCAAACUGCAGUGGAGAGUGCUCAGUAGGCAAUCGAUGCGACACAUGUGGGGUUGUGAAUAUUGUCGAUGGCAUUGGUCUUGUCAAACUUAUGGGAAUGAGCAGUAGGCAAUCGAUGCGACACAUGUGGGGUUGUGAAUAUUGUCGAUGGCAUUGGUCUUGUCAAACUUAUGGGAAUGAGCACGGGCCACAUUACUCUUCAUGCCA